rnacentral:rRNA from 1 species
CCAGACUCCUACGGGAGGCAGCAGUGAGGAAUAUUGGUCAAUGGCCGAGAGGCUGAACCAGCCAAGUCGCGUGAGGGAAGACGGCCCUACGGGUUGUAAACCUCUUUUGUCGGGGAGCAAAGCGAACCACGUGUGGUUCAUUGAGAGUACCCGAAGAAAAAGCAUCGGCUAACUCCGUGCCAGCAGCCGCGGUAAUACGUAGGGAGCGAGCGUUAUCCGGAAUUAUUGGGUGUAAAGGGUGCGUAGACGGGAAAGCAAGUUAGUUGUGAAAUCCCUCGGCUUAACUGAGGAACUGCAACUAAAACUACUUUUCUUGAGUGCAGGAGAGGUAAGUGGAAUUCCUAGUGUAGCGGUGAAAUGCGUAGAUAUUAGGAGGAACACCAGUGGCGAAUGCGACUUACUGGACUGUAACUGACGUUGAGGCACGAAAGUGUGGGGAGCAAACAGGAUUAGAUACCCCAGUAA